rnacentral:misc_RNA from 1 species
CAGAGUUAGGGUCUUCUCGGCCCGACCUCCCAACCCUUUGUUUACUUAACUAUUGUUGCUUCGGCGAGCCCGUCAUUUUGCGAUGACCGCCGGAGGGCCGUAACACGCUCUCUGGUCCGCGCUCGUCGGUGGCCAACCAUUUUUAAAACGCUUUAAAUAAACGUGUCUUUAUCUGAGUACUAUAUUUAAUAAAAGCA